rnacentral:lncRNA from 1 species
AUUUUCUUUCUUUAAUCACCAUUGCCAUAGCCCCUCUCUCUGUUUUAUGUUCCCCAUUUAUCUUCACUAUUCAUCUUCGUUUUCUCCUUCACCGUUUUCUUUUCUUCAUCCCCCUUCACCGUUUUCUUUUCUUCAUCCCCCUUCACCGUUUUCUUUUCUUCACCCCCCUCGUUUUUUUAGCUUUCUCUCCUUUCCGCGUUUCAUAAAAACAACCACAAACCCACUCCUAUUUAAUACCCACACUUUGUUCAAUCACCCCAAGUUUGAAGCAAUUAGUGUUUGAGUAUUACUAUUUUUCCCAAACUUUGUUUGAGUAUUACAGUAAAAAAAUCAGAUACCCACUCUUUUAUUACUAUUUCAAGUAAUUAGUGUUUGAUUAUGUCUAUCUCAAAUUCAAUCCCAAGUGCUGGUGCUUGUGAUUGUGAUGCCAUGCAUUCAAUCACUCAUUGCUUCAUUGGCGUACAAUACAGGUAUAUGUUGAUUUUAUGGGAGGCCAUAAGUCCCCCUUACAUUCAUUGUAUGCAUGAAUGCACGUAAAGGUGCUUGACAACUUUAUCUGCCAGUUUGUAUGUGCACAUUGUGAACCCUUUGAGUUUGAGGCUUACUGCAGCAUGUAAAAAAUGCGGGAUAUAUGCAGCCAGAACAAAAAAGUAAGGGGAAGUUAUACUAACAAAGCCAAACCUCAAGGGAGGUAAGUGUUUAUUCCCCAAGAAAUAAAGUUGCACCCUGAUUAAUAGUUAUAGCUUUUGGCCUAGUGGAAAUUGUUUGAUCCAAAUAUCACAUUCUUGGUCAAGGGAUUUGAUUUCUGUGAUAGUUUGAUAUUUCAUUCUUUUUAUUACUUUAAUCAACAAACAAGGAGCUAGCGUGUCAUCAUUGCGACAUAAGGGUUUAUUUGUCUUUUCUUGCAAUUUGAUAUUUUUCCCGCUCAUUUUAUGUAUUGCUACAAAAUUUUAUUUUUUGUAUCAUUAAUUUCAAAAGAAUCUAUGCCUCAAUUGUUUGGUAGGUAGGAGUAUAAAUGAAUUGUUCACAGAAAUGGUAAUAUGACUUCUCUUGGUAAAUAUGUUUCUCUGAAUUGACACCAGUUCGUGCCACGUGCAGAGAAUGUGAACACGUGGUUUUGGAUGAAUCUUUUAUUUAUACAUUCUUUAUCCUUUUGCUGUUGUGUUUAUAUCACAAACCUAGAUAAAAAAAGCUGCGCAAGAAAAGUGGACGAAGGAAGAGACCUUCCCAGUAUUUCGUGGAGAAAGUCUGCUUUUCCAAUGGCACCUAAGAGAGAAGAAGCAGGCCCUAUUCCUACUGGAUGGGCUUCAAAACCUUUAGUGGAAAAGAGUGGUUCCAAAUCGUUGUUUUACUGUCCAGCUACUGGGCAACAGUUUGAUUCCUAUUACGGACUCAUGAACUAUGUGAAGUAUGCGAUGAGAAACAAACUUUCCAUUUAUGAGCCGUGUUGUAAAGCAGUUAAAAGGGUAAAGAAUUUGAA